rnacentral:lncRNA from 1 species
CUCAGCCUACACCUCGUCUUGCUUUCAAGCCUCCCUACACAAUGCGCUCUUGCCAGCACUUCAGGAUUCAGCUUAGCGGCGUGAUUCAGGCUGUUUCCAUUUUCCGAAUCAUCUUUCCCCACCCGAGAACCAUCGUCUGCCCUCACUUUGGCGGCAGCUGGAUCUGGAACAUACAAUGGUGAGGUGAACUCAUAGCUGUAACCAGACUGCAUAUACUCAUUAGACCAAGUCACUGGCAAUAGUGAUGGAGAAAAUCAGAUUGGGAGAGAUAAGGGAGAGAAGUAAAGGAAGAGAACAAAUACUAUCUGAAUUUUGGGGAAUCAGCUACAAAGAGGCUUAUCUUGGGUGGCGCAGCUCGCUUCAUCAGGAACAUUAUUUGGCCUGCUUGAUCGGCUGGAGGCAGCUGGACUCUCUCCUCACACUUCCCUCAUGGAUCUCAGUGCUCAGAGAGCAUAGUAGGCACUGGCCAAACAGUUCCUAGGGAAAAAAAUGGAGUGAAUAAAUGUGGAGACUUAUCCUUCA